UACAGAGGUCUCAAGCGUUGUUCGGAUUCAUUGGGCGUAAAGGGUGCGUAGGCGGCGCGGUAAGUCGGGUGUGAAAUUCCUGGGCUUAACCUGGGGGCUGCAUACGAGACGUAUGGGCUUGAGUGCGGAAGAGGGUCGUGGAAUUCCCAGUGUAGAGGUGAAAUUCGUAGAUAUCAGGAGGAACACCGGUGGCGAAGGCGGGUCUCUGGGCCGAUACUGACGCUGAGGAGCGAAAGCGUGGGGGAGCGAACAGG
rnacentral:rRNA from 1 species